rnacentral:lncRNA from 1 species
AAGUUGUUUAGAUAAAGCAUUUAUAAUCACGUUGUGGGGAGCUACCCCAUCUGUAAGCUCACUAAACUGUAGAUACCGAAACUGUUGACGGAAAGUUGUUGUGCCCCGAGUCAAUGUCUAUCGUCAUUGACCAAGAUGCAAGGUCUACUAGUUCACGCCCGAUCUCCCCCGGUCACGGUGUGAGGUUGUCAAACCUAAUAGCGCUAUCAACUAAUAACCCGUUCGCCCCCGGCGAUUAAUCGGUACUGUAAGCAGGGACUUAAGGUGAUAGAGUUUCGUUUAACUUGGCUAGUUGUGAUCUAUAAAUAAUAUCCAAACGUAUCUCCCCCGGAGAUAGUUACUUGUCAAGCACGCUGGUCACCAUGUCCAAACAUGAUAGUAAAUACCCAUUCGGAUUUCCCCCGGAAAUAAUAGUUCAAAAGUAUUUUACCCAAAGUUGGUAGUUUGUCCGUGUCCCUCCCUGGGACGCAUGCUUUUAGUGUGUGAACUCACCUUGGGUUGCUCGGCAGAUUAGGUUACUUGUCAAGCACGCUGGUCACCACGUCCUAACAUGGUUACCAUUAUAGGUCAGGUUUGGGUACAGAGAAUGUCACGUAUAUUUUACACAUAAUCUAACACAUAGCAUGCAUACAGUUACAUGUUGAGUUAUUGGGCCUGCUCUACUAUUGGAUCAGUCAACAGUA